AUUGAACGCUGGCGGCAGGCCUAACACAUGCAAGUCGAACGAGUGGCGGACGGGUGAGUACUGUCUGGGAAACUGCCCGAUGGAGGGGGAUAACUACUGGAUACGGUAUCUAAUACCGCAUACCAUCGGAUGUGCCCAGAUGGAAUUAGCUUGUAGGUGAGGUAACGGCUCACCUAGGCGACGAUCCCUAGCUGGUCUGAGAGGAUGAUAAGCCACACUGGAACUGAGACACGGUCCAGACUCCUACGGGAGGCAGCAGUGGGGAAUAUUGCACAAUGGGCGAAAGCCUGAUGCAGCCAUGACGCGUGUAUGAAGAAGGCCUUCGGGUUGUAAAGUACUUUCAGCGGGGAAGCGUUACCCACAGAAGAAGCAACGGCUAACUCAGUGCCAGCAGCCGCGGUAAUUC
rnacentral:rRNA from 1 species